UUUUGGGAUUGCCAUAUGGAGAAUACAUGGAGAACAUAGCACAGUGGUAUAGAUACAGGUGCAACAAGAGGGAAAGGCAUGGUUCACAUGUAGCAACAACCCCUGGUUUGUCAUUACACGAAUGAAGCCAGGGAAUCUUGAGUUCAUGCACUCCCGACUCCCAAGCACAGCAUAAUAAUUAGACCCACAACUACUUCCAAAUAACCAACUGUGGUUCCCCUCCCCUUCUAAACCAAAAUUCCAAACCGUGAUUUAAUCUUGCCUUGGAAUUCAGAUUUGGAAGGAAGAAAGAAACCAUAGUUUGUGGCUUGGAGGGAACUUCAAACAGUGAAACUGCAAAUCUGUCAUUGUAGAGCUGUGUACAGGCAGGAAGAUGGGAAGAGGCAGCAUGACUAACCCAAGGAUCCUCCCCUGUUUGUUUUUGUAAUGACAAACAUGCUAAUAUCCUUCAUAGCAUUCUGGUUUCCAUAGUCCUCUAUCUGUUUGUGUAUUUUCAAAGGCUACAGUCCUUUACUCAGUUGCAUGCACUUCACUAAAGCCAAGAUCUGGGAUCCAAUUCCUGAGUCCAUUCUAUGUAUGUUCCAGGGGUGUGCAGCCAUGACUUCUUUGUGUACUUUUUCACACUAGGAGCCCUCCUUCAAAAACAUGCAACUACAUUUAUGUUUCUUCUGUGUUUAAACCCAGUUUACUUGUCAUAGGGAACCUGCUGGGUAACGAAAGAAACAGCCAGCUAUGCUGGUGUGGAUCUUUUGACCUGACCAGCAAGAUUAAGCAUGCAUAACCGUGUAGGAUUGCAACCCACAUCUACAGUGUAUCAGCUAUACUGGUGACAUGUUACAGUUUAGAAUACUAGGCCUGGCCUGCAUACGAUGCACCCUUAAAGCAGUAUAUGGCACGUCAAUCAUGCAGGCUGCAAAAUAAGAACCUGUAUCAUGGUAAGCAACAUAGCAUCUGGAGUGCUCUGCUGUGAGGCAUCACUAGCGUGCGUUUGUUCAGCAGCCUGCAGAUAUCUGAACCUGGCGGCUGAGGGGCUGCUGCCUUGAGAAUCAACUAAAAUUAAUGACGUGCUUGGCUGUGAAAUCCGAACUCACAACCCUGUAUAUUAAGGUGCCAAAUUUCCUACUUCUGUUCUUUCAACUAAGCUUUUACGUUUGAAUUUUGUGUUUCUAUUCCUAUAUUCUUUUUCAAGAAAUUAAGCUGGAAAGAUGCUACUAUGUCGAAAAUAUUUCUGAUGUACAAUAAAGCAGCAAUUGCAAAUGUGUUUCUGUAGGUCGAUUGUAUUUGAUAACAAAAUGUACAUUUUUUUUGUUUAAGUACAGUGUGUUCUGCUCUUUUAUAUUAAUAUACCAUUUUCUGUUGUUUCUUCAUCCUUAUACACUGCUAAUAAAGAUGUGUAAUGAUGACCCUGAA